UACGGAGGGUGCAAGCGUUGUCCGGAAUCACUGGGCGUAAAGGGCGCGUAGGCGGCUCAUGAAGGCUGUGGUGAAAGUCCGGGGCUCAACCUCGGAUCGGCCGUGGCGACUCGUGGGCUGGAGCACUGUAGAGGCGGGUGGAAUUCCGGGUGUAGCGGUGGAAUGCGUAGAGAUCCGGAAGAACACCAGUGGCGAAGGCGGCCCGCUGGGCAGUGGCUGACGCUGAGGCGCGACAGCGUGGGGAGCGAACCGG
rnacentral:rRNA from 1 species